CGGUACGGGUUGUGGGAGCAAGAGCCCGGAGAUGGAUUCUGAGACACGAAUCCAGGCCCUACGGGGCGCAGCAGGCGCGAAAACUUUACAAUGCGGGAAACCGUGAUAAGGGAACUCUGAGUGCCCGUUAAAUCGGGCUGUCCAUCAGUUUAAAAAACUGGUGAAGAAAGGGCCGGGCAAGACCGGUGCCAGCCGCCGCGGUAAUACCGGCGGCUCGAGUGGUGGCCACUAUUACUGGGCUUAAAGCGUUCGUAGCUGGUUUGUUAAGUCUCUGGGGAAAUCUUCCGGCUUAACCGGAAGGCGUCUCAGGGAUACUGGCAGACUAGGGACCGGAAGAGGUGAGAGGUACUCCAGGGGUAGGAGUGAAAUCCUGUAAUCCUUGGGGGACCACCUGUGGCGAAGGCGUCUCACCAGGACGGCUCCGACAGUGAGGGACGAAAGCUGGGGGAGCAAACCGGAUUAGAUACCCGGGUAGUCCCAGCCGUAAACGAUGUGCGUUAGGUGUAUCGGUGACCACGAGUCACCGAGGUGCCGAAGAGAAAUCGUGAAACGUACCGCCUGGGAAGUACGGUCGCAAGGCUGAAACU
rnacentral:rRNA from 1 species